UUCUCCAUUCCAUCUUCUUAUGCAUGCACAGUUUUAUUGAUGAACAUAUCUGUGUGUGUGUUUGAGUGUUAUUAGUUUACGUAUUUUGUAUGUGUUUAUGUGAUGGAAUGGUUGUGGUCCUUGUGGGAUGGUAAUUUUGCUAAUAAUGUGAAUGGAAUGGAUGUAGGAUGGUAAUUUGGCUAAUAAUGUGAAUUUAUCGUUUUAAAUGUUUUUGUACUUCAAAGAUUGAAAAUUAUUUGAUGGUUUACUAUAGGUAACAAUAUUGAGGGGUGUGCUGUUGGUUUUUCUUCUUGUUAUAUUUUUAUUGUGAAUUGGGAUGAAUGACGCAUUUUGGUACAGUGUGGAAGUGAAUAAUAUUGUGUGUUAUUAUACGAUAUAGAAUGGUUUUGGAUUGGUAAUAUGGUUAAUGGUGUGUGAAUUUGAAAGGGUUGUGGAUUGGUAGCAUUACAUAGACCAAUAAAAGAUUAAUCUUGUAAUAGCGAACAUGAUAGAGCAAAAUGGUCUAAGUGGCCUUCUUUACUGUGGUUUAGUUGCUCCAGCAUUAUUGUUAAUCCUUGUCAGUAUUUAUGUCCUAUUUGUAGAUGCAAGAGAGAGUGAAAAAGAAGAAGCUUUGUUGGGUUUUAUUAUUUGUACAAAUAACAAUGAUGAAUAAAAGUUUUAAGUCUUACAACAAAUGAAACAGAACAUAGACAGAUAAAAGACUAGUCUUAGAAUAGUUAAUGAGUUGAACAAAAUGGACAAUUUUCUAAUAGACAUUUUCUCCCUUUGGCUUAAGAUGCACCCUCAUCAUUUUUGCUCUUUGUUUAAUAUGGUUAUUUACUUGAUAUGAGUAGUUGAUUGAUGUCGCUUUCUUUUUCAAAAUUUUUAUUUCAAUAAAAAAAUUUCCUUGUAAAUUGUGGUAUAUAAAGUAUAUUUAUAUCUUGUUAUUUGAAAUUGACCAUGCAGUAGUAUCAACGGAGUUGGCUUACCACAACUUAUAGUGAAAUAGUGAUUUGAAUUUAAAAUUCUUAUGGUAAUUGCGAACUUAUCACUACCGUCGACAAAUUGAAUGAAAUAGAAUUAUCUACUUAACACUAACCGUCUUCUUCUUCCACCCAAAAAAAAAAAAAAAGUUAUGUUCUUGGUUAAU